rnacentral:sRNA from 1 species
UAAAAGCACGUGAAACCGUUGAAAGGGAAACGCGCUCGGCUAGCAAUGCGCGCCUGUGGUUCAGCCGGCUAAUCUUGUGAGUUGGCGUGCGGCGGAUCCGAAUGGACCGCCCGCGUCAGCAUCGCAGGGCGAGCUGUGGUGCACUCCAUGGGCGUGCGCGUCAGCGUCGGUUCCAGACGAGCGAUGAGGUGCGUGGGGGAAGGUAGCUCGGUUCUUCGGAUCCGAGUGUUAAGACCCUGGUGCUGGGCUCGUCGUGGGACCGAGGAGAGAGAUGAUCGCUGCGGCACCUGCCUCUCGGGGCUAGCCAGCUGCCGUUAGAUUUGCGUCAGGCGUUGAGGACUGCACGCAGUGCUUGAUGUUGAGGCGUGGUCUAGUGGUGGUGUGGGUAUAGAGGUGCCUA